CAACCCUCAAGCCUAGCUUGGUAUUGGGUGCCACCAGCAUGGUGCACCUUAAAAUCAGUGGUGGUGCCAUCUGGCUUCAAGCGUAGUAUUACUUCUCGCUCUGGAGGUCCAGGUAGUUGCCUGCCAGAAAACCCCAUUCUUUCUCAA
rnacentral:misc_RNA from 1 species